rnacentral:rRNA from 1 species
GACGAACGCUGGCGGCGUGCUUAACACAUGCAAGUCGAACGGAAAGGCCCUGCUUUUGUGGGGUGCUCGAGUGGCGAACGGGUGAGUAACACGUGAGUAACCUGCCCUUGACUUUGGGAUAACUUCAGGAAACUGGGGCUAAUACCGGAUAGGAGCUCCUGCUGCAUGGUGGGGGUUGGAAAGUUUCGGCGGUUGGGGAUGGACUCGCGGCUUAUCAGCUUGUUGGUGGGGUAGUGGCUUACCAAGGCUUUGACGGGUAGCCGGCCUGAGAGGGUGACCGGCCACAUUGGGACUGAGAUACGGCCCAGAAUCCUACGGGAGGCAGCAGUGGGGAAUAUUGCACAAUGGGCGGAAGCCUGAUGCAGCAACGCCGCGUGCGGGAUGACGGCCUUCGGGUUGUAAACCGCUUUCGCCUGUGACGAAGCGUGAGUGACGGUAAUAGGUAAAGAAGCACCGGCUAACUACGUG